rnacentral:tRNA from 4 species
AAGAGAGGUUAGCUAACAACGGAAACUGCUAAUUUCCGUAACUCUGGUUGAAUUCCGGAGCUCACUUG